AUACCUCCCCCUUCGUCCCGCCGAUUCCCCCCACUCUGCCAUUUCAAAUCUCCUCUCCUUCAUCUUCAGCUUCACUCGUGCUUCACCUCUCUCCUUCUCCACAAUGGUCGUUGCUCAGAGAACGAAGGAAGCAGAGAUCACAGAGCAGGAUUCUUUGCUCCUGACGAGGAAUCUGCUCCGGAUUGCCAUCUUCAACAUCAGCUACAUCCGAGGCCUCUUUCCCGAGAAGUACUUCAACGACAAGUCGGUUCCUGCCCUAGAGAUGAAGAUUAAGAAGCUGUUGCCCAUGGAUGCCGAGUCUCGGAGGCUCAUCGAUUGGAUGGAGAAAGGCGUCUAUGAUGCACUACAGAAGAAGUAUCUGAAGACGCUUCUCUUCUGUAUCUGUGAGGAUGUAGAGGGUCCGAUGAUUGAGGAGUACGCAUUUUCCUUUACCUAUGCUAAUUCUAACAAUGAGGAGGUAUCCAUGAAUGUAUCUCGUAGUGGAAACAAAAAGAAUGGUGCGAUAUUUAAAUCUAAUACAACAGAUAUUACCCCUGACCAAAUGAGGAGCUCUGCUUGCAAGAUGAUCCGUACCCUGGUUUCACUAAUGAGGACUCUGGACCAAAUGCCAGAGGAGCGAAUCAUUAUAAUGAAGCUCCUCUACUAUGAUGAUGUCACGCCUGAGGAUUAUGAGCCUCCAUUUUUCAGAUGCUGCGCAGAGAAUGAGGCCAUUAAUUCAUGGACCAAAAACCCAUUAAAAAUGGAAAUUGGAAAUGUGAAUAGCAAACACCUCGUAUUAACUCUGAAGGUGAAAAGUGUUCUUGAUCCAUGCGAGGACGAGAAUGGCGACGUUCCUGAAGAUGAGGAGAUGAGCUUGGGUGAUGAUUCUAAUCAGGAGGAUGACUCUUCUUCAGACGGUGAGGUCCACCCUUCUCAUGCAGACCAGUACAUGGUUGCGCCCAUUGGUGAAAAACGUCUGUGCGAAGAUACUGGCAUGGUUUCUGAAGAUGAGACUCAAGAUGCAGCUCACGAGGAAACUCAGACGGCUCGAGUGAGAGAUUGGAUAAGUUCCAGACACAUCAACAGUGUUGAUCUCUCAGAUGUUCUAUCAAACUUCCCUGACAUAUCAGUUGCUUUGACUGAAGAUAUUAUGGAGAGGCUGCUGAAAGAAGGGCUCUUAUCCAGAGCUACGAAGGAUAGUUACACUAUUAACAAGGAAGUCAACUCCAAUCCAUCCGUCGUAAAGGAGGAGGCUGAGAUGCAGGAGAUUCCACAAGCUGAGGAAACUACCAAGAUGUCUAAUGAGGAUUUCAUGUACAUGAAGGCUCUUUAUCUUGCUUUACCAAUGGAUUAUGUGACUGUAGCGAAGCUUCAAAGCAAGUUAGACGGGGAAGCUAAUCAGAGCACUGUGAGGAAGCUAAUUGACAAAAUGGUGCAGGAUGGGUAUAUUAAGAGCUCGGGAAGCAAAAAACUUGGUAAGCGCGUCAUCCAUUGUGAGUCAAGCAACAAAAAGCUCCUUGAAGUCAAAAGGAUAUUGGAAAGCAAGCUCAUGGACAUUGAUACCAACGAACAACCAUUCAAAUGUGAGGGUGUGGACGCGCCUUCAAAAGACAAAAAUAUGAUCGACGGAUCCACAUUGGGUGUCCUCCAUUCCAUCGGAUCUGAUCUCACACGCACCCGAGAGCGACCCGAGCCAUACCAAAAUGGAUCUAUGCUAAGCGGGCAGGGAGCUCAAGCAAAGGGUCAGGAUCAUAGUAGAACUCCAACAAGCAUGCACGAGCCAAUUGCUUCUCUAGAGAGUGGAGUGAUGGGAGAGAGAGUCCGAGGAAGGCCUUUCCCCGGUGAUGAUGUUUGCCGUUCUUCUCAAGACAAGCGAUCAAGGAAGGCUAGCACCGUUAAGGAACCCAUACUUCAAUAUCUAAAGCGACAAAAAGCUCAAGCUUAGAAAGAGAAUACAAGUUGAACUAAGAUUUUUGAAUGGCCAAUUCACAAUGCAAACUCUUGAAGUCGAGACCAUAGUGUCCAGAUUGUGUAUUCAAGAUAACGAAGGUAAAUCGCAAUCACGCCCCUUCGAUCACGCGCCCGUGGAUCGCGCUCCGACAAAGGAAUCAUCUGCGGUACAUGAUCUCACAGUGUCCAUCACCCAGCAAUUCGUUGGGACCACGGGUGAUAGCAAAUGAAAUGUACGUAUGUCUCUCCACCCCUCCUUAGCCUUUCAACGAGCCUGUUUGGUCUUUUACUAGAGCUUGUUCUGAAUUACUAUUUGAGUAGAACAUUUUAAUUGAAUAUUAAGGAUGUGUGUUAGUAUAUUUUAGCUCGGAAAUAGUGAAUAUAUCUUAAAAAUUUUGGUUCUUGCGUUAACGGUCAAAUCUACUCUAACUGACAAUAUCUAGUGCAGUUAAUUAAAAAUUUAAUAAUUGAUAUUCGAGAUCUAA